rnacentral:rRNA from 1 species
AUUGAACGAUGGCGGGAGGCAGAAAAAAGGAAAGUCGAAAGGGAAAAGGAAGCAGCUGGCGGAGUCGGUGACGAGUGGCGGACGGGUGAGGAAUGUCUGGGAAACUGCCUGAUGGAGGGGGAUAACUACGGGAAACGGUAGCUAAUACCGCAUAACGUCGCAAGACCAAAGAGGGGGACCUUAGGGCCUCUUGCCAUCGGAUGUGCCCAGAUGGGAUUAGCUAGUAGGUGGGGUAACGGCUCACCUAGGCGAGGAGCCCGCGCUGGUCUGAGAGGAUGACCAGCCACCCUGGAACUGAGCCACGGUCCAGACUCCUACGGGAGGCAGCAGUGGGGAAUAUUGCACAAUGGGCGCAAGCCUGAUGCAGCCAUGCCGCGUGUAUGAAGAAGGCCUUCGGGUUGUACCGUACUUUCAGCGGGGAGGAAGGGAGUAAAGUUAAUACCUUUGCUCAUUGACGUUACCCGCAGAAGAAGCACCGGCUCACUCCUU